AGUGAACGCUGGCGGUAGGCCUAACACAUGCAAGUCGAACGGCAGCACAGUAAGAGCCUGCUCUAACGGUUGCGGGUUGGCGGCGGGUUGGGGAAUAAAUGGGAAUCCCUUUUUUCUGGGGGGUUAAGUAAGGGAAAUUUCCCCUAUACCGCAUUCGGCCCUAGGGGUGAAAGCAGGGGUUCUUGGCCCCUUGCCCGUUUGAUGGACCCGAUUCCGGAUUAGCUAGUUGGCGGGGUAAAGGCCCCCCAAGGCGACGAUCCGUAGCUGGUCUGAGAGGAUGAUCAGCCACACUGGAACUGAGACACGGUCCAGACUCCUACGGGAGGCAGCAGUGGGGAAUAUUGGACAAUGGGCGCAAGCCUGAUCCAGCCAUACCGCGUGGGUGAAGAAGGCCUUCGGGUUGUAAAGCCCUUUUGUUUGGAAAGAAAAGCAGCAGGUUAAUACCCCGCUGUUCUGACGGUACCCAAAGAAUAAGCACCGGCUAACUUCGUG
rnacentral:rRNA from 1 species